UUAACCAGGAUCUCUCUGUAAACCAUAACACCAUCUCCUGUGUGAAACAAGUCUCAGCACUCUGUAAUUUGCAAGAUUUGAUUUGGGUAAGCGGGUAGACUAAGGUGGAUUUAAAGUGUUGACUUUUGUUGUUUUGUCUGUGACGGCACCCUGGACGUUGAGAGGAUUCCUCUCAGCAGCCUGCCAGAGAGGACCAUGACAAGCCACACCCUGACAGAGCAGGUCUGAGGUCAAACACAGAGUCUUCUAGAUGGUGGCUCUGCAGGUCAAACACAGAGUCUUCUAGAUGGUGGCUCUGCAGGUCAAACACAGAGUCUUCUAGAUGGUGGCUCUGCAGGUCAAACACAGAGUCUUCUAGAUGGUGGCUCUGCAGGUCAAACACAGAGUCUUCUAGAUGGUGGCUCUGCAGGUCAAACACAGAGUCUUCUAGAUGGUGGCUCUGCAGGUCAAACACAGAGUCUUCUAGAUGGUGGCUCUGCAGGUCAAACACAGAGUCUUCUAGAUGGUGGCUCUGCAGGUCAAACACAGAGUCUUCUAGAUGGUGGCUCUGCAGGGCAACACAAGGACGGAGUGAGUUUGUUAUCAACAGUUUGUUAUCAACAGUUUGUUAUCAACAGUUUGUUAUCUUUCUAUCAGAUAAGAUCGUGAUUUUACACUUUCACUAGUACCACUAUGAAGACAUUAUCACAUAAAUCCUCAGAACUGAAACUUUCAAUAUUUAGAUAGACAUUAUUCUCUAUUCCAAUAUAACUAUCAUAAUCUUAAAACUAAAGUGAUUAAAACAUAUUUGUUUAUUGGAACCUUAUUUCAAAACAACGUGUUAAUAUUUUAACGUUAAACAUUUUUAUAUUUAGUUUGAAUCCCAUUUGAGUGUUUGAAAGGCUGAUUAUCACAUUUCAACUUCAUGGUAUCACUUCAUUUGAACACAGUAUGUAAUGUCAUUAGUUUUCCAAAAUUGCAGUUGUUUGUGACAUUGAGACAAUAGACAAGACCAUAAAAGACUGACUGAUACUGUAGGGUGCAUGGACAAAUCUAAAGAGUUUAUUUUCUACAGUAAUAUUUUAAUAGAUAUUAAAAGGAUUUGAAAAUGUGAUAAAGGACACCUUAACACAUACUUAAUGUCUGUGUACUGUAUUUUAGAAUGCUAAAUGUAUUUAUGGUGGAAAGAAAUUAAAAUAUUUGAUACACUUUUUCUUUUUAAUAAACGGUUUGCAUUGUUCAUUGUCAAACAAAA